rnacentral:rRNA from 1 species
UUCGCAAUGCCCGAAAGGGUGACGAAGCGACGCCGCGUGGGUGAGGAAGGCCUUCGGGUUGUAAAGCCCUGUCAGGAGUUAAGAAAUGUAAGUGCGCUAAUAUCGCAUUUAUUUGACGAAGGCUCCAAAGGAAGUCACGGCUAACUCUGUGCCAGCAGCCGCGGUAAUACAGAGGUGGCAAGCGUUGUUCGGAAUUAUUGGGCGUAAAGAGCACGUAGGUGGGUUUGUAAGUCAGAUGUGAAAGCCUUCUGUUCAACGGAAGAAUUGCAUCUGAAACUGCGAGUCUUGAGUGUAGGAGGGGAGAAUGGAACUUCUGGUGGAGCGGUGAAAUGCGUAGAUAUCAGAAGGAACGCCGGCGGCGAAAGCGAUUCUCUGGCCUAUUACUGACACUCAGUGUGCGAAAGCUAGGGGAGCAAACGGGAUUAGAUACCCCGGUAGUCCUAGCCGUAGACGAUGGGCACUAAGUAGAGGGGUUUU